rnacentral:rRNA from 1 species
AAGUUAUAAUUUAUUAAUUUUUAUUUUAUAUUUUAUUUUUAAUAAAAGUAAUUUUAUAGUUAAUUUUUUAGUAUAUUUUAUAGAAAAAAUUGGUUUAAUAAUAGUUGAAUAGUAUUGUGAAAGAAUAUUGAAAUAAUAUGAAAAUUAAUUUUUGGGAAAGAAGUAUUUAUUUUAUGUACCUUUUGUAUCAGGGUUUAUUAAUUAAAUUUUAUUAAUAAAUAAAUUUCUCGAAUUUAAAAGAUUUAAUAAAUUAUUAAAGUUAAUGUUGAAUAAUUAUUUUAAAUAAUUUAUUAGUAAUGAAAUGUUAUUCGUUUUUAAAUAUAUCUAGUUUUUUAAGAAAUAAAUUUAAUUUACAUAUUUAAAAUAUAAUAUUUUAUUUUGUUAAAGAUAUUAUUUUUUAAUAUGAAUAUUUUAAGGGAUAAGCUUUAAUUUAAUUUCUAUAAUAAAUUAAAUAAAGAUUAUAAAUAUAGGGUUAGAAAUAUCUAUUAUUAAUAAGUUUGUUUUAAUUUAUAUGUUGUGUUUAUAAUUUACUUUUAUUUAGAUUUUUUAUUAAAAUGAUUAUUUUAAUUAUAAAAGUAAUGUAAUAAUGAUAAAAUUAGUAUAAUGGUUUGUUUAAAUUUUAUAUUUAAAAAGAUUAAAUUAAGGAAUUCGGCAAAUUUUGUACCCACCUGUUUAACAAAAACAUGUCUUUUUGAUUAUAAUUUAAAGUCUAACCUGCCCACUGAAAUUUUUGAAGGGCCGCGGUAUUUUGACUGUGCAAAGGUAGCAUAAUCAUUAGUCUUUUAAUUGGAGGCUUGUAUGAAUGGUUGGAUGAGGUAUAAACUGUCUCAAUUUAAUAAAUAAUAGAAUUUUAUUUUUAAGUUAAAAAGCUUAAAUGAUAUUAAAAGACGAGAAGACCCUAUAGAUCUUUAUAAUUGAAUUUAUAAUAAUUUUUUGGAUUAGAUUUAUUUUUAUAAGUUAAAUUAUUUUAUUGGGGUGAUGAAAAAAUUUAUAAAACUUUUUUUUUAUUUAAACAAUGAUAUUUGGUUAUUUGAUCCAUUUUUUGUGAUUAUAAGAUUAAGUUACCUUAGGGAUAACAGCGUAAUUUUUUUGGAGAGUUCUUAUCGAUAAAAAAGAUUGCGACCUCGAUGUUGAAUUAAAGGUUAAUUUUAGGUGUAGAAGUUUAAAAUUUUGGUCUGUUCGACCAUUAAAUCUUUACAUGAUUUGAGUUCAAACCGGCGUGAGCCAGGUUGGUUUCUAUCUUUAAUUAAAUAAAAUAUUUUAGUACGAAAGGACCAAAUAUUUAAAAUAAUUUUUAAAAGUGAAUUAUAUUAAU